GCUCAGGAUGAACGCUAGCUACAGGCUUAACACAUGCAAGUCGAGGGGCAGCAUUUUAGUUUGCUUGCAAACUGAAGAUGGCGACCGGCGCACGGGUGAGUAACACGUAUCCAACCUGCCGAUAACUCCGGAAUAGCCUUUCGAAAGAAAGAUUAAUACCGGAUAGUAUACGAAUAUCGCAUGGUAUUUUUAUUAAAGAAUUUCGGUUAUCGAUGGGGAUGCGUUCCAUUAGUUUGUUGGCGGGGUAACGGCCCACCAAGACUACGAUGGAUAGGGGUUCUGAGAGGAAGGUCCCCCACAUUGGAACUGAGACACGGUCCAAACUCCUACGGGAGGCAGCAGUGAGGAAUAUUGGUCAAUGGGCGAGAGCCUGAACCAGCCAAGUAGCGUGAAGGAUGAAGGCUCUAUGGGUCGUAAACUUCUUUUAUAUGGGAAUAAAGUUUUCCACGUGUGGAAUUUUGUAUGUACCAUAUGAAUAAGGAUCGGCUAACUCCGUGCCAGCAGCCGCGGUAAUACGGAGGAUCCGAGCGUUAUCCGGAUUUAUUGGGUUUAAAGGGAGCGUAGGUGGAUUGUUAAGUCAGUUGUGAAAGUUUGCGGCUCAACCGUAAAAUUGCAGUUGAAACUGGCAGUCUUGAGUACAGUAGAGGUGGGCGGAAUUCGUGGCGUAGCGGUGAAAUGCUUAGAUAUCACGAAGAACUCCGAUUGCGAAGGCAGCUCACUAGACUGUCACUGACACUGAUGCUCGAAAGUGUGGGUAUCAAACAGGAUUAGAUACCCUGGUAGUCCACACAGUAAACGAUGAAUACUCGCUGUUUGCGAUAUACAGUAAGCGGCCAAGCGAAAGCAUUAAGUAUUCCACCUGGGGAGUACGCCGGCAACGGUGAAACUCAAAGGAAUUGACGGGGGCCCGCACAAGCGGAGGAACAUGUGGUUUAAUUCGAUGAUACGCGAGGAACCUUACCCGGGCUUAAAUUGCAACAGAAUAUAUUGGAAACAGUAUAGCCGUAAGGCUGUUGUGAAGGUGCUGCAUGGUUGUCGUCAGCUCGUGCCGUGAGGUGUCGGCUUAAGUGCCAUAACGAGCGCAACCCUUAUCUUUAGUUACUAACAGGUGAUGCUGAGGACUCUAGAGAGACUGCCGUCGUAAGAUGUGAGGAAGGUGGGGAUGACGUCAAAUCAGCACGGCCCUUACGUCCGGGGCUACACACGUGUUACAAUGGGGGGUACAGAAGGCGGCUACCUGGUGACAGGAUGCUAAUCCCAAAAACCUCUCUCAGUUCGGAUCGAAGUCUGCAACCCGACUUCGUGAAGCUGGAUUCGCUAGUAAUCGCGCAUCAGCCAUGGCGCGGUGAAUACGUUCCCGGGCCUUGUACACACCGCCCGUCAAGCCAUGAAAGCCGGGGGUACCUGAAGUACGUAACCGCAAGGAGCGUCCUAGGGUAAAACUGGU
rnacentral:rRNA from 1 species